rnacentral:rRNA from 1 species
UACGAAGGGGGCUAGCGUUGUUCGGAAUUACUGGGCGUAAAGCGCGCGCAGGCGGCUAUCCAAGUCAGUGGUGAAAGCCCGGAGCUCAACUCCGGAACUGCCAUUGAAACUGUUUAGCUUGAGGAUGAGAGAGGUGAGUGGAAUUCCCAGUGUAGAGGUGAAAUUCGUAGAUAUUGGGAAGAACACCGGUGGCGAAGGCGGGUCUCUGGGCAGUAACUGACGCUGAGGAGCGAAAGCGUGGGGAGCGAACAGG